rnacentral:rRNA from 1 species
AUGGAUGUGCGGCAGAGGCAGAGGAGGGUGGCGCCGCCGGCAGUGGGCCAUGCGGGGGCGCCCCGGGUGCUGCAGGCGGGGGACGCGCUGCCGCUCCCGAUCCGGCACACGAACCUCAUCUUCUCGGCGCUCUUCGCGGCCUCGCUCGCCUACCUGAUGCGGCGGUGGCGCGAGAAGAUCCGCUCCUCCACGCCGCUCCACGUCGUCGACCUCACCGAGAUUCUCUCCAUCUUCGGCCUCGUCGCCUCGCUCAUCUACCUGCUCAGCUUCUUCGGCAUCGCCUUCGUCCAGUCCAUCGUCUCGUCCAGCGACGAGGACGAGGAUUUCCUGGUCGGCCCUCCCGCCGCGCCGGCGCCGUCGCAGUGCGGGCUUCUCGGGGGUGCCGACGCGGUGGUGCCCGAGAAAAUGCCCGAGGAGGACGAGGAGAUUGUGGCCUCCGUCGUCGCCGGGAAGGUGCCCUCCUACGUGCUCGAGACCAGGCUCGGCGACUGCCGGCGGGCCGCGGGGCUCCGGCGCGAGGCCGUGCGGCGGAUCACGGGGAGGCAGUUCGAGGGUCUCCCGCUCGACGGCUUCGACUACGCGUCCAUCCUCGGGCAGUGCUGCGAGCUGCCGGUGGGGUACGUCCAGCUCCCCGUGGGCAUCGCCGGGCCGCUCCUGCUCGACGGCCAGCGGUUCUACGUGCCCAUGGCGACCACCGAGGGCUGCCUCGUCGCCAGCACCAACCGCGGCUGCAAGGCCAUAGCCGAGUCAGGUGGCGCCACCAGCGUUGUGCUCCGGGACGCGAUGACGCGCGCCCCCGUCGCCCGCUUCCCCACCGCGCGCCGCGCCGCCGAGCUCAAGGCCUUCUUGGAGGACCCCGCCAACUUCGAUACGCUGUCCGUUGUCUUCAACAGGUCGAGCAGAUUUGGGAGGCUGCAGGGAGUGCAGUGCGCGAUGGCCGGGAGGAACCUGUACAUGAGAUUCAGCUGCAGCACAGGGGAUGCCAUGGGGAUGAACAUGAUCUCCAAGGGCGUGCAGAACGUGCUGGAUUACCUCCAGGAUGACUUCCCUGACAUGGAUGUCAUUAGCAUAUCAGGUAACUUUUGUUCUGACAAGAAGCCAGCCGCUGUAAAUUGGAUCGAGGGGCGUGGCAAGUCUGUGGUUUGUGAAGCAGUAAUCAAGGAGGAAAUUGUGAAGAAGGUUCUGAAAACCAAUGUGCAGUCUCUAGUAGAACUAAAUGUGAUCAAGAAUCUUGCUGGCUCAGCUGUUGCUGGAGCUCUUGGGGGGUUCAAUGCCCACGCAAGCAAUAUUGUAACAGCUAUCUUCAUAGCCACCGGCCAGGAUCCUGCACAAAAUGUGGAAAGUUCUCAGUGCAUUACAAUGUUGGAAGCUGUAAAUGAUGGCAAAGAUCUUCACAUAUCUGUCACUAUGCCCUCUAUUGAGGUGGGCACAGUUGGUGGUGGGACUCAGUUGGCGUCACAGUCUGCAUGCCUGGACCUGCUGGGCGUGAAAGGCGCCAACAGGGAAUCGCCAGGAUCGAACGCGAGGCUCCUGGCCACCGUGGUGGCAGGCGGGGUUCUCGCCGGGGAGCUGUCCCUCUUGUCCGCCCUCGCCGCCGGCCAGCUCGUCAAGAGCCACAUGAAGUACAACAGAUCCAGCAGAGACAUGUCCAAGGCCGCAUCUCUAAGUUCUUGA